UACAGAGGUCUCAAGCGUUGUUCGGAUUCAUUGGGCGUAAAGGGUGCGUAGGCGGUGGAGCAAGUCAGGUGUGAAAUCCCGGAGCUCAACUCCGGAACUGCACUUGAUACUGCUUCGCUAGAGUACUGGAGAGGAGACUGGAAUUUACGGUGUAGCAGUGAAAUGCGUAGAGAUCGUAAGGAAGACCUGUGGCGAAGGCGAGUCUCUGGACAGUUACUGACGCUGAGGCACGAAGGCCAGGGGAGCAAACGGG
rnacentral:rRNA from 1 species